AUGUGUGCGUCGCCGGGUGACACGUACACGCUGUGGUCGGCUUUCGACGCCAUCCUCGUUGGCUGCGUCAUGGAAGUCGAAGUGGGCGCCUUCUUGGGCAUCGCGCCAGGAAGACCAGGUCGCGUAUCCGAGCCGCGUCAUGGAUGUGGCCGCUUCCCUCGCUGUCGUGCAGCGCAUGGGCGAGCGGCCCCUGAAGCACGGGGGCGCCCAUGGUCCGACCCUCCUCCCCGAGCCAUCCUUGAGAGCAGCACACUCCUCCCCGCGCGACCAGGUGCGACGCAGGGAAGGAUGGCCCCGACGCGCACGGCGGAGCGCUGGCGGCGCUGCGCAGGGAGGCUACGCAACAGCUCGCUGGAACUGCUAUGCACAGUGGCUGGUGACACUGCAAGGGUGAAACGCCCGCGUCGCCUUGCCCUGGGCGACUCGGGCGGAAUGCGGUUGCUAGCGCCACCGCCUCUCCUUUCUACAUGCCUCGUCGCGCCGCUGCCGGAGGACACCGCAGGCAAAGCUCACGCGGCCGACAGCAACGGCGGGGCGCCAUCUCGCGACAGCCUCCGAUCUGUCGGGCGGCAGCUUCGGGCGGCACGUCGGCGCGCGUCGGGACUCGGCUGGGUCGCGGUGACCGGCGACUGUUCUCGACAUCCUCCUGUGGGGCGUGGUGAUGGCUACUGGCGGCAUGGCGGCGAGGCUGUGCCGGAGGCACGGGGCCGGGGCGUCUCGGUGGAUUUUGGUCGUGGUGUUGUGCCCAGGUUGGCUGCGGUGCCGUGGUUCUUGGUAGACAGAUCUGUCUUUCGUGCUUCAGAUCCGGUCAUCGGCGGCCUCAUUGCGGAUUGCGGUGGCCACCGGAAGAUCUUCGCGGGGAUUACUCUCUUCAGAUCCGGUGGUUUCGUUCGGCGACGAGAUGCAAACGAUGGACAACGACUUGACGCAGAGGAUAUGGUUGUACAGCGGCGAGCAGCUGCUAGGAUCGUGGAGAAGCGGUGGCGACAACAUAUGAUUGACUUCGAUGGUGGUGCUUUCGAGUACCCGGUCUCGAGCUCCGAGGGUGAAAACUUAGAGUCCAACCUUUGGUGGUUGGAUCCGGUGACGGCGACGCUCGAGCAUCGCUUCCUUCAUGAAGGCGUUGCUGUUGAAGAACCCCGUUGUCCUUAUGGUGUCAUGAGAUGGUUGAAAAAAAGACCGGCGAGAUUCGCACCCAAAUUGGACUCCAGUCUCCAGUCCGCCGCCGCCGCCUCCCCUUAUCGCCGAAGGCCGCCCGCCGCGCGCGCAUUUUCCUCACCGGCGGUAUGUAUCCUCCUCGCUCGCCAUCUGUACGUCGGCUGCACGAACUCCGCCACUCACCGCCGGAAAUCCCCUCCGCCCCCAUCCCCCUUGAACCCUAAUCCCAGAUGUGGCCAGCGGCUCCCUGCGCAGCCUGGCGCUCCGGGACGCCUCAGGCGGGUGCUGGACGGUGCAGCGGCGCGUUGCGUCUCGGACGCCACCUUCGCCGACUGGCUCAAAGUGGCGUUGGACAACUUGCUUGGCAUGGUUGACACACUUGACGACUUCACAAGGACAGUGGACAACCUCACCGCUCGCCUCCAAGCCACGUGCCGCCCUAAAGGCCACCAUAAAGGUAGCCGCCGCUGCGUCUCCGCUGCUGGCAAACUUGCCGGCCUCCAUGGAAAUGAUCUCUUCCGCACACUGAUGACCCUGCAGCUGCGCCUGCGGAGUUCUUCCUGGAGGUCACUCUCGCUGCGCAGAGCCUCAUCAUGCAUGACCAGCUCGACCUUUUCAUCGAACUCAGUGAAAAGAUCAUCUUGGAGGGCGACCCUAUGGCGAUCUAUGAGUACAACUUCAUGGCCUUCAAGUACCACAGGAAAACCUUGGACAAACACAAACCACUACAACCCGAGGCUCCGGACCACCGCGUACAAAACAACACCUCCAAGAAGGAAAGCGACGCCGACGACGCUGCUGCCCGGACAUGUCCUAGGGUUUCCCCGGCACGCGGAAGGAGGUGGGGAUGGAUAUCACCGACACCCUCCAGGAAGGAAUGGUGGCACCCGCAAGUGUCACCGCAUCGGGGCCGAAGACCGGCAAGGAUUUCUCCCGUACUCCAAUCCCCACCGCCCCACGGACCGGAGCCGACCAGCCAGAUCGCCGCCCACCACCAUGCGCCAUCGCGGUUGCGCCGUCACCCACGCCGCCUCACUGCGAACACCAACACGAGGCCAAGAGGACCGGGGAGAAGCGCCCCGCGGAGGGAGAAGCAGCACCGAAGCCGAACGGGAGGGAACCACCUCCACCGCCGUCGUGCGGGAGGCCAGAACCUCCGGCACUGUCGCGAAGUCCGCCCUCGCUCGCACCGGGAGCCCUCGCCGCCGCGCUGGACCGCCGCCGCCUAGAAGCACCGCCCGGGGUCACCCCUUCCCGCGCCGGCGGACACCCGAGAGGGAAAAAGCCAGGGGGGCGCCGCCACCAGCGUCGCCCGGGCCAGGCCCGCAGCGGGCGCCGGCAACGGCGGUAGAGAGGAAGGGGGAGGGAGAGGUGCGCGGGGAAGAGGGCUGGGCGCGGCCAGCCGCCCGCGGGGGCGGCGCGGUCGCGGGAGAGGAGAGGAGGGGGAGGCUCGUUGGUUCUCGAGCUACCAAUUAUACAUCGGACAAGUUCGUUCAAGAGCACAUUGACCUCGCCAACGCCGCUGCAAUUUCACGUCCACCGACUGGCCCAACGAAGGACUUACAUAGAGCUCAGCAACACGUUCUCGACCUCGGCAGAGGCAUUUCAGCUGAGCAAGCGCAUGACAUACUCCAUCACUCCGGCAUCACAAGGCAGUCUGAUCUGGACAUCCUCAGGAGCUCUCUGAAGAUUGGCGUGCUGAGGUACACUGAUUGUACCUCGAAGCGCCUCCCAUCGGCCGAGUACAUGACACAGUGGCCCUUGACCGCUAUUGAGGUGCAGCACUCUUCAUCUUCUUUGGCUGUUGCUGUCAGCCUCUUCCUCUUAACUGAGAGGAAGGACAUCGUGACAGUGAAGUGUAGUUGUAAUCAGAAAAGAUGGCAGGGGACAAGACCAUGGGAUCAGCAGAUGCAGUGUUGUUAUGGAAGGAUCGGGUUUAGAUAUCAUCAGUGUCAAUGA
rnacentral:rRNA from 1 species